rnacentral:misc_RNA from 1 species
CUCUUUCUUGUCUUUCUUGUUCCCGAGGGAAACGGAGGAAGUGGUGGAGGCGAACAAGCGCCGGCGAGGCAGUGGGGGUGGAGAGGGGAGGAGGAAGCGGAGGCAGCGUGUACAGAGGCCACAGAGUUCGCUCAUUAUCAUUUUGUAUGGAAGAGAUUAUUGAUAACAGACAGAUAGAAAAAUGGGCUUCAGCGGCUGAAGCUGUCCACUCGAAAAUGGACGGUGAGGUCGAAAGCCAGUUGAAGCAGAGGAGGCACGCUAAGGUUUAAGGUGAG